rnacentral:rRNA from 1 species
UACGUAGGGGGCAAGCGUUGUCCGGAAUUAUUGGGCGUAAAGCGCGUGUAGGCGGCUUGGCAAGUCCGCUGUGAAAACUCGAGGCUCAACCUCGAGAUGUCGGUGGAAACUGCCUGGCUAGAGUCCGGAAGAGGAGUGUGGAAUUCCUGGUGUAGCGGUGAAAUGCGCAGAUAUCAGGAAGAACACCUAUGGCGAAGGCAGCACUCUGGGACGGUACUGACGCUGAGACGCGAAAGCGUGGGGAGCGAACAGG